AUACGGAGGAUCCGAGCGUUAUCCGGAUUUAUUAGGUUUAAAGGGUGCGCAGGCGGAACUGUAAGUCACCGGUGAAAUCCUACAGCUUAACUGUAGAACUGCCGGUGAUACUGCGAUUCUUGGGUAUAGUUGAGGUAGGCGGAAUGUGUAGUGUAGCGGUGAAAUGCAUAGAUAUUACACAGAACACCGAUUGCGAAGGCAGCUUACUAAACUAUUACUGACGCUCAUGCACGAGAGCGUGGGGAGCGAACAGGAUUAGAAACCCCGGUAGUCC
rnacentral:rRNA from 1 species